UACGUAGGGUGCGAGCGUUGUCCGGAAUUAUUGGGCGUAAAGAGCUCGUAGGCGGUUUGUCGCGUCGACUGUGAAAACCCGAGGCUUAACCUCGGGCCUGCAGUCGAUACGGGCAGACUAGAGUUCGGUAGGGGAGACUGGAAUUCCUGGUGUAGCGGUGAAAUGCGCAGAUAUCAGGAGGAACACCGGUGGCGAAGGCGGAUCUCUGGGCCAUUACUGACGCUGAGGAGCGAAAGCGUGGGGAGCGAACAGG
rnacentral:rRNA from 1 species